rnacentral:rRNA from 1 species
UACAGAGGGUGCAAACGUUGUUCGGAAUUACUGGGCGUAAAGCGCGUGUAGGCGGCCCUGCAAGUCGGGUGUGAAAUCCCAUGGCUCAACUAUGGAAGUGCACUCGAAACUGCAGGGCUAGAGUCCUGGAGAGGAAGGUGGAAUGCUUGGUGUAGAGGUGAAAUUCGUAGAUAUCAAGCGGAACACCGGUGGCGAAGGCGGCCUUCUGGACAGUGACUGACGCUGAGACGCGAAAGCGUGGGGAGCAAACAGG